ACGGCUGAGUAACACGUGACUAAUCUACCCUCGAGUGGGGAAUAACUGAGAGAAAUCUUAGCUAAUACCGCAUAACACUUACGAGUCAAAGCAGCAAUGCGCUUGGGGAGGAGGUCGCGGCCGAUUAGCUAGUUGGCGGGGUAAUGGCCCACCAAGGCGAUGAUCGGUAUCCGGCCUGAGAGGGCGCACGGACACACUGGAACUGAAACACGGUCCAGACUCCUACGGGAGGCAGCAGUGGGGAAUUUUGCGCAAUGGGGGAAACCCUGACGCAGCAACGCCGCGUGGAGGAUGAAAUCCCUUGGGAUGUAAACUCCUUUCGAUAGGGAAGAUAAUGACGGUACCUAUAGAAGAAGCCCCGGCUAACUUCGUGCCAGCAGCCGCGGUAAUACGAGGGGGGCAAGCGUUGUUCGGAUUUAUUGGGCGUAAAGGGUGCGUAGGCGGUUUGGCAAGUCUUGUGUGAAAUCUUCGGGCUCAACCCGAAGCCUGCAUAAGAAACUGCCGGGCUUGAGUAUGGGAGAGGUGAGUGGAAUUUCCGGUGUAGCGGUGAAAUGCGUAGA
rnacentral:rRNA from 1 species